UACAGAGGUCUCAACCGUUGUUCGGAUUCAUUGGGCGUAAAGGGUGCGUAGGCGGUCGCGCAAGUCGGAUGUGAAAUCUCAGGGCUCAACCCUGAAACUGCAUCGAUACUGCUGGCUAGAGUCGUGGAGAGGAGACUGGAAUUCACGGUGUAGCAGUGAAAUGCGUAGAUAUCGUGAGGAAGACCAGUGGCGAAGGCGGGUCUCUGGACAGUUCCUGACGCUGAGGCGCGAAGGCCAGGGGAGCAAAGCGGG
rnacentral:rRNA from 1 species